rnacentral:rRNA from 1 species
CCUACGGGAGGCAGCAGUAGGGAAUCUUCCGCAAUGGACGAAAGUCUGACGGAGCAACGCCGCGUGAACGAUGAAGGCCUUCGGGUCGUAAAGUUCUGUUGUUAGGGAAGAACAAGUGCUAGUUGAAUAAGCUGGCACCUUGACGGUACCUAACCAGAAAGCCACGGCUAACUACGUGCCAGCAGCCGCGGUAAUACGUAGGUGGCAAGCGUUGUCCGGAAUUAUUGGGCGUAAAGCGCGCGCAGGCGGUUUCUUAAGUCUGAUGUGAAAGCCCCCGGCUCAACCGGGGAGGGUCAUUGGAAACUGGGAAACUUGAGUGCAGAAGAGGAAAGUGGAAUUCCAAGUGUAGCGGUGAAAUGCGUAGAGAUUUGGAGGAACACCAGUGGCGAAGGCGACUUUCUGGUCUGUAACUGACGCUGAGGCGCGAAAGCGUGGGGAGCAAACAGGAUUAGAUACCCUGGUAGUCCACGCUGUAAACGAUGAGUGCUAAGUGUUAGAGGGUUUCCGCCCUUUAGUGCUGAAGUUAACGCAUUAAGUCACUCCGCCCUGGGGGAGGUACGGUCGGUCGACGACGUACGAACGUAACGUAAAGUAAAGUUAGGUACGGCGUGAGACGUCGACCGACGGACGACCGACGGAGGGAGGUAGG